rnacentral:rRNA from 1 species
CACGCCGUAAACGAUGUCUACUAGCCGUUGGGUUCCUUGAGGACUUAGUGGCGCAGCUAACGCAAUAAGUAGACCGCCUGGGGAGUACGGUCGCAAGAUUAAAACUCAAAUGAAUUGACGGGGGCCCGCACAAGCGGUGGAGCAUGUGGUUUAAUUCGACGCAACGCGAAGAACCUUACCAGGUCUUGACAUCCAGAGAACUUUCCAGAGAUGGAUUGGUGCCUUCGGGAGCUCUGAGACAGGUGC